rnacentral:rRNA from 1 species
GUUUGAUCCUGGCUCAGAUUGAACGCUGGCGGCAUGCUUUACACAUGCAAGUCGAACGGGGUGCGGGGGCAACUUCGCAUUCAGUGGCGAACGGGUGAGUAAUGCAUCGGAACGUGUCCCGUGGUGGGGGAUAACGCCGCGAAAGCGGCGCUAAUACCGCAUAUGCUCCACGGAGGAAAGCCGGGGACCCGCAAGGGCCUGGUGCCAUGGGAGCGGCCGAUGUCCGAUUAGCUAGUUGGUGGGGUAAUGGCUCACCAAGGCGACGAUCGGUAGCUGGUCUGAGAGGAUGAUCAGCCACACUGGGACUGAGACACGGCCCAGACUCCUACGGGAGGCAGCAGUGGGGAAUUUUGGACAAUGGGGGCAACCCUGAUCCAGCCAUGCCGCGUGCGGGAAGAAGGCCUUCGGGUUGUAAACCGCUUUUAGCCGGGAAGAAAAGGCAAGGGCUAAUACCUCUUGUUUUUGACGGUACCGGCGGAAUAAGCACCGGCUAACUACGUGCCAGCAGCCGCGGCAAUACGUAGGGUGCGAGCGUUAAUCGGAAUUACUGGGCGUAAAGCGUGCGCAGGCGGUUCGUUGUGUCGGCGGUGAAAGCCCCGGGCUUAACCUGGGAAUGGCCGUUGAAACUGGCGAACUGGAGUGUGGCAGAGGGGGGUGGAAUUCCGCGUGUAGCAGUGAAAUGCGUAGAGAUGCGGAGGAACACCGAUGGCGAAGGCAGCCCCCUGGGCUGACACUGACGCUCAGGCACGAAAGCGUGGGGGAGCAAACAGGAUUAGAUACCCUGGUAGUCCACGCCCUAAACUAUGUCAACUGGGUGUUCGGGAAAGCGAUUUCUGA